rnacentral:rRNA from 1 species
UACGUAGGGGGCUAGCGUUGUCCGGAAUCAUUGGGCGUAAAGAGCGUGUAGGCGGUCCGGUAAGUCCGCUGUGAAAGUCGGGGGCUCAACCCUCGAAUGCCGGUGGAUACUGUCGGGCUAGAGUGCGGAAGAGGCGAGUGGAAUUCCUGGUGUAGCGGUGAAAUGCGCAGAUAUCAGGAGGAACACCGGUGGCGAAGGCGGGUCUCUGGGCAACUACUGACGCUGAGGAGCGAAAGCGUGGGGAGCGAACAGG